GACGAACGCUGGCGGCGUGCUUAACACAUGCAAGUCGAACGGAAAGGCCUCUUUCGGGGGUACUCGAGUGGCGAACGGGUGAGUAACACGUGAGUAACCUGCCCUUGACUUUGGGAUAACUUCAGGAAACUGGGGCUAAUACCGGAUAGGAGCUCCUGCUGCAUGGUGGGGGUUGGAAAGUUUCGGCGGUUGGGGAUGGACUCGCGGCUUAUCAGCUUGUUGGUGGGGUAGUGGCUUACCAAGGCUUUGACGGGUAGCCGGCCUGAGGGGGUGACCGGCCAAAUUGGGCCUGAGAUACGGCCCAGACCCCUCCGGGGGGCAGCGGGGGGGAUUAUUGCACAAGGGGGGGAAGCCUGAUGCAGCAACGCCGUUGGGGGGAUGACGGCCUUCGGGUUUGAAACCGCUUUCCCCCAUGACGAAGCUUUGGGUGACGGUAGUGGGUAAAGAAGCCCCGGCUACCUCCGU
rnacentral:rRNA from 1 species